AAUGUACACCAAGCAGUACAAAAGUGAAAGGCAAAACUUACAAGACUCCCAAGUGUAGGUAGUGUGCUAAACGAGCGGCAAGGUUUUCACUAACACCCCACUCUGUUCCAGUGAGUGGAGUUUGAUAGUAACCUUUGCUACAAGU
rnacentral:snoRNA from 1 species